rnacentral:rRNA from 1 species
UACGGAGGGUGCAAGCGUUAAUCGGAAUUAAUGGGCGUAAAGCGCACGCAGGCGGUUUGUUAAGUCAGAUGUGAAAUCCCCGGGCUCAACCUGGGAACUGCAUCUGAUACUGGCAAGCUUGAGUCUCGUAGAGGGGGGUAGAAUUCCAGGUGUAGCGGUGAAAUGCGUAGAGAUCUGGAGGAAUACCGGUGGCGAAGGCGGCCCCCUGGACGAAGACUGACGCUCAGGUGCGAAAGCGUGGGGAGCAAACAG